UCCCUGGUGGUUCAGUGGUUAGGAUUCGCACUUUCAUUGCUGGGGCCCUGGGUUCAAUCCCUGGUCAGGGAG
rnacentral:tRNA from 1 species